rnacentral:misc_RNA from 1 species
AUAUCGUUUCAUUGUGUGGUCCUCGCCGGAUUCAAAAUUUUCUUCUUGUUUUGUAACUGUAUUAACAAGGUAAAUUCAAGAAUGCCAUUAACAAAUGCAGAAAAGCAGAGACGCUAUAGAGAGCGCCUUAAACAAGAUCCAGAAAAAUUUGAAAACUACAGAAAAAAAAAUUUAGAGAGAAUUAAAUCUAAAUAUAAAUAUAAAAAAGUUAGUGAAUUAAAUGAUAGAGAAAAAUCGGAGGUGAGAAGAAAAUGGCGGGAACAAAAGCGACA